CACGUAGUGCGCAAGCGUUGUCCGGAAUUAUUGGGCGUAAAGAGCUCGUAGGCGGUCUGUUGCGUCCGCUGUGAAAACUCGGGGCUUAACCCCGAGCCUGCAGUGGAUACGGGCAGACUAGAGGUAGGUAGGGGAGAAUGGAAUUCCCGGUGUAGCGGUGAAAUGCGCAGAUAUCGGGAGGAACACCGGUGGCGAAGGCGGUUCUCUGGGCCUUACCUGACGCUGAGGAGCGAAAGCGUGGGGAGCGAACAGG
rnacentral:rRNA from 1 species